rnacentral:tRNA from 1 species
GCCCGUGUGGUGGAAUGGUAGACGCGGCGGACUCAAAAUCCGCUACCGAAAGGUGUGGGGGUUCAAGUCCCUCCACGGGCACCA